rnacentral:rRNA from 1 species
UGGGGAAUAUUGCACAAUGGAGGGAACUCUGAUGCAGCGACGCCGCGUGAACGAAGAAGGCUUUCGAGUCGUAAAGUUCUUUUAUAUGGGAAGAUAAUGACGGUACCAUAAGAAAAAGCCCCGGCUAACUACGUGCCAGCAGCCGCGGUAAUACGUAGGGGGCUAGCGUUGUCCGGAAUCACUGGGCGUAAAGGGUUCGCAGGCGGAAAUGCAAGUCAGGUGUAAAAGGCAGUAGCUUAACUACUGUAAGCAUUUGAAACUGCAUAUCUUGAGAAGAGUAGAGGGAAGUGGAAUUUUUAGUGUAGCGGUGAAAUGCGUAGAUAUUAAAAAGAAUACCGGGGGCGAAGGCGACUUACUGGGCUCAUUCUGACGCUGAGGAACGAAAGCGUGGGUAGCAAACAGG